rnacentral:rRNA from 1 species
GGGUUGUCAUGCCAAUGGCAUUGCCCGGUAGCUAAAUGCGGAAAAGAUAAGUGCUGAAAGCAUCUAAGCACGAAACUUGCCCCGAGAUGAGUUCUCCCUGAGACUAUAAGUCUCCUGAAGGAACGUUGAAGACGACGACGUUGAUAGGUCGGGUGUGUAAGUGUAGCGAUACAUUGAGCUAACCGAUACUAAUGAACCGUGAGGCUUAACCUUACAACGCCGAAG